rnacentral:lncRNA from 1 species
CUUCUCUUCAUUUUCAUAUUCUUUCACCAUCUUCAUCUUCCUCUUUCUCUUUCACAUCUCCAUCUUCAUUUUUUUAUCUCCAUUUUUAUUUAUACCGCAAAUUCAAUAUUUUUCUCACCAUUAAUUUUUUAACCAUCAUUUUUAGAUUUACUAAUUUUUUCUUUUUAUGAAGAAGGAUAAAUAAUCUCAAGUGUUUCCGUCGGAAUGACUUUACAGCCGCAGGUGGAGAUUUUCCGGCCACCAAAUCAGUUCCAAAAUGAACAUACCAGUGAUAUUCACCAACCUCAUAAACAAUUAC